GCCUCAGUCUUUGCACAGGGGUUCGUGCUGGUCACUGCCCCCAUCUCCUCACCCCUGGUUCUUCCAGGAUUUCCCCACUGCUGAGUAGUUUCCGCUUUUAUUUUUAGUCCUGUGACCCUGGCGUGAAUGGCACUCGGCGGGUCUCACCGUCCUACCAAUCCUUGGACCUUGCCCCACUGUUCAAAUUAAAGCUGGAUGGAAACUGGCUAUAGGCGUGUGAACUGUGUGGGCAGUUGGCUCUUUUUUUAUAGCUGGCUCGUAGUUUUUUAUCAUGUGAGAAUUAUUUUGCAUGUAUGGCUGACCGUCUCCAUUUAUUGUAUGAUUCAGUUAAUGGCAUAAUAUAUAUAAUGUGUACCAGGGGCCUUGGGCCCCCAGGCUUGUUAUCUGCUGCAGUUUCAACUUUUUUUAGCUGUGUUCACCUGGUGCUGAUGCCCAUGGAGCAAGGGUGGAUGCACCCAGUUUUUAUGAGGCUUCCUCAUUGGCAUCAGCCUUUGUGAGCUGUUAGCUGGCCUAUUUUUAGUGUGUUUAAGGAAGGAGUACAAAAGGGAAGAGACCAGUUUUUAUUUCAGCUACGAGAAUGUGUAUCACUGAAGAGAGAAAUAAAACUCCAAUUCACAGCCAAUUCUUUAUGAGGUCACCAAGAAAAAAAUAUGUAUAAAACCCCAUGUUUCUCAUUUUGACAGUCAUUUUCCUGAAUAGUAAUGCCAUUUAUUUUCUCUGUACCUUCCUUCCUUGUACAUAAAAUGGAUGUAAUAAACUUUGCUCGCUUGCCUUUUGUACCCCUGGAUGAAAGUUGCAGCAUAAAUGCCUGCAAUUAUUUUUGGCCUUAGGCCAAGUAAUACUUUUUUAUUUAUGUGUACAUACUCUUUGAGAUUUUAAAUCCCUUUUUUUUAUAUAUAUGAUUUGUAAAUAAACAUAAAAUUCACUAC